rnacentral:lncRNA from 1 species
GUUGGCUAGGAGCUAGAAACAGAACUACGUUGGCUAGGAGCUAGAAACAGAACUACGUUGACUAGGAGUUAGAAACAGAACUACAUUGGCUAGGAGCUAGAAACAGACCUAUGUUGGCUAGGAGCUAGAAACAGAACUAUGUUGGCCUGGAGCUAGAAACAGAACUAUGUUGGCCAGGAGCAAGAAACAAAAUUAUGUUGGCCAGGAGCUAGAAACAGAACUAUGUUGGCCAGGAGCUAGAAACAGAACUAUGUUGGCUAGGAGCUAGAAACAGAACUAGGUUGGCUAGUUGUCCAGAAGCUAGAAACAAAACUAGGUUGGCUAGUUGGCCAGGAGCUAGAAACAGAAUUCUGUUGGCUAGGAGCUAGAAACAGAACUAGGUUGGCAAGGAGCUAGAACAGAACUAGGUUGGCUAGUUG